rnacentral:lncRNA from 1 species
CGAUGGCUGUUCUGGUGCGUGUGCGGCUCGGUGGGCUAGGGUGCGCGGGGUAGGUGGCCGCACUGCGUGUGUGGCUCGGUGGGUUGAGCGUCCGCGGGGUCGGUGGCCGGAGGUCAAGGACGAGCAAGGGUUGCCGGCUGGCUGCCGGGGUUCGCGUGUGGUAGGCAUGGGUUGUCGGCUGGCUGAAUGCAUGGAGGCGGUAGUAGC